GGGCAGAGGCACCUUCCCCAUUAAGGGUCCGGAUAUUCCAGGAUAUGUUGAGGCAACAAAGAAGGCCCAGUUGGAAAAUGAAGUUAUUAGUAUGAAGUAGCAGCGCAGGCACAUUUGGAAAAUUAUGCCGAUAAGCAAGAUGGAAUUUGGGAAAAAAUGUUAUACAUCGAG